rnacentral:rRNA from 1 species
AGUGAACGCUGGCGGUAGGCCUAACACAUGCAAGUCGAACGGCAGCACAGUAAGAGCUUGCUCUUACGGGUGGCGAGUGGCGGACGGGUGAGGAAUACAUCGGAAUCUACUUUUUCGUGGGGAAUAACGUAGGGAAACUUACGCUAAUACCGCAUACGACCUACGGGUGAAAGCAGGGGAUCUUCGGACCUUGCGCGAUUGAAUGAGCCGAUGUCGGAUUAGCUAGUUGGCGGGGUAAAGGCCCACCCAGGCGACGAUCCGUAGCUGGUCUGAGAGGCUGAUCAGCCACACUGGAACUGAGACACGGUCCAGACUCCUACGGGAGGCAGCAGUGGGGAAUAUUGGACAAUGGGCGCAAGCCUGAUCCAGCCAUACCGCGUGGGUGAAGAAGGCCUUCGGGUUGGAAAGCCCUUUUGUUGGGAAAGAAAAGCAGCAGGUUAAUACCCCGCUGUUCUGACGGUACCCAAAGAAUAAGCACCGGCUAACUUCGUG